AGCACAUGUUGGGUGGAUCAAGUAGAGACCUUGCUUGGCCACAGAACACGGCCAAGGAUUGUAACAGUUGGACCAGAGACUUGGACAACAAGGCCACACCAGUUUUUUACAAAUGGGUUACCAGACUGGACUGGAUUCACGACUCAUCACGCCACUAACUUAACUGCUUUGGUCACAUACAUUUGUACAUUGGAUCAUCAUCGAUGUUAUUUAUGCUAACCCCUAGAGCUUCGCAUUGGUAUGAUUCAGUUGAAAAAUUUUCAGAUUUUGUCGGUGAUAGUGGUGAUACAGAUUUGACUGAUGAUGUUAACUCGUUUGCUGUUGAGAAAAGUGAUUUUUAUUUUUGAACUUUGAGCAUCAUAAAUAUAUUCCCGUAAAUGGCAGAAUUCGCUGCAUAGAAUCUUAAUGUUAACUAUGAAAUUUUAGGUUUUUGGAUAAUACAGACUACACUUGUGUAUCCCACGGUGUUUUCUAAAUUUUAAGCACCAGUGUAUCCCAUGGUGCAUUUCAUAUAUAUCUAUCUAUCUACCUGGUUGCCAUAUUAUCUUCGGGUAACCGACCAUAGAUCUAUCUACAUAUACAUGGUCUAUGGUCUAUCUAUCUAUCUACAACAUAUCUUAGUAUCUAUCUACAACAUAUCUAUCUACAUGUAUAUAUAUUAUAUAUUAUAUGAAUCUAUCAUAUUAUGAAUAAAAGCUGUGGCCAGAUAUCGCCAAACCA